rnacentral:rRNA from 1 species
ACCAGACUCCUACGGGAGGCAGCAGUGGGGGAUAUUGCACAAUGGGGGGAACCCUGAUGCAGCGACGCCGCGUGGGUGAAGAAGCGCCUCGGCGCGUAAAGCCCUGUCAGCAGGGAAGAAAAUGACGGUACCUGAAGAAGAAGCCCCGGCUAACUACGUGCCAGCAGCCGCGGUAAUACGUAGGGGGCAAGCGUUAUCCGGAUUUACUGGGUGUAAAGGGGGCGCAGACGGCGAUGCAAGCCAGGAGUGAAAGCCCGGGGCCCAACCCCGGGACUGCUCUUGGAACUGCGUGGCUGGAGUGCAGGAGGGGCAGGCGGAAUUCCUGGUGUAGCGGUGAAAUGCGUAGAUAUUAGGAGGAACACCAGUGGCGAAGGCGGCCUGCUGGACGAUGACUGACGUUGAGGCUCGAAAGCGUGGGGAGCAAACAGGAUUAGAUACCCUGGUAAG